AGUAAAUUCAAUUUUGAAAAUCGCUAAAUGACAUAGGUAUAGUUGCCAAAUUGCUAAAUAGCCUAACCUAAUUGUCGUUAUUAAUGGCUUGAGCCAAACAAAUGUACGUAACAGAUAAUUUAAUUAUCAGUGAAAUGUGUAUUCAAAUAUACACACACACGGUCAUUAAGAUCAAAAAAUAAAGACAACAAAUUACAUAAGUAUAAAUUAUAUAUGCAUG